UACGUAGGGUGCAGGCGUUAAUCGGAAUUACUGGGCGUAAAGGGUGCGCAGGCGGUUUUGUAAGUCAGGCGUGAAAGCCCCGGGCUUAACCUGGGAAAUGCGUUUGAGACUGCAAGGCUAGAGUGUGUCAGAGGGGGGGGGAAUUCCACGUGUAGCGGUGAAAUGCGUAGAUAUGUGGAGGAACACCGAUGGCGAAGGCAGCCCCUGGGUCAAAACUGACGCUCAUGCACGAAAGCGUGGGGAGCAAACAGG
rnacentral:rRNA from 1 species